UGGGGAAUUUUGGACAAUGGGCGCAAGCCUGAUCCAGCCAUGCCGCGUGAGUGAAGAAGGCCUUCGGGUUGUAAAGCUCUUUCGGCUGGGACGAAAAGGUUCGUGCUAACACCACGGAUCAAUGACGGUACCAGCAGAAGAAGCACCGGCUAACUACGUGCCAGCAGCCGCGGUAAUACGUAGGGUGCAGGCGUUAAUCGGAAUUACUGGGCGUAAAGCGUGCGCAGGCGGUUUGCUAAGACAGGUGUGAAAUCCCCGGGCUUAACCUGGGAACUGCGCUUGUAACUGGCAAGCUUGAGUGUGGCAGAGGGGGGUGGAAUUCCACGUGUAGCAGUGAAAUGCGUAGAGAUGUGGAGGAACACCGAUGGCGAAGGCAGCCCCCUGGGCUAACACUGACUCUCAUGCACGAAAGCGUGGGGAGCAAAC
rnacentral:rRNA from 1 species